rnacentral:rRNA from 1 species
CAAGGCUUGACAUCNCCGGUAAUCCUCCAGAGAUGGGGGGUCCUUCGGGGAUCGGUNACAGGUGGNGCAUGGCUGUCGUCAGCNCGUGUCGUGAGAUGUUGGGUUAAGUCCCGCAACGAGCGCAACCCCUNUCCCAUGUUGCCAGCACGUGGUGGUGGGGACUCAUGGGAGACUGCCGGGGUCAACUCGGAGGAAGGUGGGGAUGACGUCAAGUCAUCAUGCCCCUUAUGCCUUGGGCUGCAAACAUGCUACAAUGGCCGGUACAGAGGGCGUGCGAUGUCGUGAGGCGGAGCGAAUCUCUUAAAGCCGGUCUCAGUUCGGAUUGGGGUCUGCAACUCGACCCCAUGAAGGUGGAGUCGCUAGUAAUCGCGGUCAUANCGCGC